UUGGCAGCGGCGGCAUCAUUCGGCAUAUUGUUGAGCAUGAGGAUGGAAGCCAUUAGGGUUUCUAGGGAGGGGGACGGGCGAAACUUUCGAUCGAACGGAGAAAAAAUGGCGUAGUGGGGCGUGUGAAUAUAUACCAAACCGGUAUAUCAAACUAUGUUGGUAGCAAACAUGUCUGGUUUAGUAUGCCCGAACCGGCCGUUUGUCACAGUUCGAUAGACCUUAAUACGAUCAGCUGAUCCACAGAGAUUCUUGUGGAUUUCAUAUUUCUUCAAAUUUUAUUUUUAUUUUGUAAUUUUUGCAAAUUGUCUGAUGGGAUUUGUGAUUUGAGUUUGUUUUAAGUUACUUUUAAAUUGUUUGAUUAAUCCCACUUUACCAUAACUGCAAUGUUUUCCUUACUCAAGAAGCCUUCCUCAUCUAUUUGGAAUUUUCUCUGCAUUUCCUUCUUUCUCUAUUCCGUCAAGAGUUAGAUCUCCAGUUAAUACCCUCACUGAAUCUCAUAUAAUUAAAUUUAAAAAGGAAGACUCUGUAGUAAUUAAAUACCCAACCUUGGUAGCUGAUUUAGUGGGCAUAGAAGCAGACACAGUAAUCCCUUCAUGAAAUAACCAACAAUUCUGAUCUUGGAUAAAGCAUGAAUCUACAUAAUCCUUUGUGACUUUCUUGGAUCCAUUCUGUAAUUGUUCUUUUUGAGUCUUGAUUUUGUAUAUGACUAUCGAUCAAGAGGUGUCACUUUUUGAGUCUUCAUUUUGUAUAAGACUAUCGAUCAAGAGGUGUCACAAUAUUUCUGCAAGUGCAGCUUGCAAUCAAAUCCAUAAACGGAUUGUAAAGUAAGAAAAUUGGGAAAUCUUAAUAGUGUGCAAGUGCAGCUUGCAAUCAAAUCCAUAAACGGAUUGUAAAGUAAGAAAAUUGGGAAAUCUUAGUAGUUCCCCUUCCACGAACUUUAGUAGCAGGCAAGGAUGUGUACCGCAGAUAUGAGUUCUUUGAUGAUAUGAAUUUCAUAUAUAUGAAAUUGAAGAAUAUAUGGGCCGCAUCAACAACAACCAUGAUGAAUAACCUUCACACCACCUGUAGCUUAAUACUGCAGAUAAAUCUUUUCCCAGAUAUUAUCCAAUUAAACUGGCUACCAUCUAGAACAUCUAUAUGGAUGGGAAGAGACUUCUUUCGAUCAUGAAUCCUAAAUGAAAAAGGUAACUUUCCUUACAAAUCAAAUAAUCUAACACCACUGAACUUCUUCCUUUUUGUUUUUUGUGAUAAGAAAGUUGAACUAUUGCAUGAUAAGUAUAGAAUUCCAGCAAUUAAGUUGGUACUUGGUAUGUUCAUACAGCAGAAUACAGUGUCUGAAACUUUGCAUAGUUUUAGUUGUAGUAAGUUUUGCUGUUAUUUUGAUGAUUUAGCUACAUGCCUUGCUGAUGCGUCUUCUCCCACCACCGAAGCUUCUCUUACCACUGAAGCUUCUAGUUUGCAAGAUAACUUAAUUUAUCCCUUAGCAGCAGGGUAUCUGGACUGAAUUCUCGAGAGUUGCAAAUGGCUGUUAGGUUUGUAUCCACUUCUAUCACUGCUAGAUUUCCGGCAACAAAGCGAUGUCAUGCUGCAGGCUUUAUAUUUCUGCAGGGAAUGCAACAGGAGUUUACAAAUUUCUUGCCUUCUUCCUGUCUUAUGAUAGAAAUGAAAGGUUAGGCAUAUGUUAAUAUGGCAAUCUUGCUUUCGAUGUUGGCAUCUGAAGAAAUUCAAGGUUUGACGCAUGUUAAUAGAGUAACUGCUCUCAGUAGCAUCAUUGGCAUCCGAAAAGUUAUUCUCCAGUUUUAUGACCUUUUGGAUACUCCUAGAUUUAUAUUGAUCUAUUGUUGGAAAACUUCAACGGGAAUAUGCCCAUAGUUUUAUAGCUCGGAGCAAUUUAAACUGGUGCAGAAAUGUUUUUGCUUGUGCAUUUCACUAGUGCACUUUUUUGAAAUGUUUUUGCUACUGGAGAGCACGCCAAUCUCAAUGGAACUGGUUAGUAUCUCUGACAAGCUAA